rnacentral:rRNA from 1 species
UAAAAAAUUAAAAUUUAUUUUAAAAAUUAAAAGUCAUAAAAAUAAAUUCUAAAUAUUUCUAAUUAACUGAAGAGGGGUAUUUUUUUAAUAAAAAAGUAAAUAAAGUUGUACCUUUAGCAUUAGGGAAUUUCAAAAAAAAAUAAGUUUUUAUUUUUCUCGAAAUAAAUAGAUCUAAGUAACUUUUUAUAGUUUUAUUUCAAAAAGGCUAAAAUAAAGUUUGCUUAGAAGUGAAAUUCUUAUCAAAAUUUAUGAUAUCUAGUUUUUUUAAUUAACUUAAAGUUAUUUUUUUAAUAAAAAAUUAUUCUUUUGAAAAUUUUUAAAAAAAUAAAUUUGUUGGGAUAAGCUAAUAAAUUUUAAAUUUUAAAACUUUUUACGCUUAUAAAAAAGAGUUAAAAUUGCUUUUAUAUUUUUAUAAAUAAUUAUGAUAAUGAAAUUUAACCUAAAUUAUAAUUAAAAAUUUAAUUAAUAUAAAUUAUAUAUAAAAAUGAAAUUAUUAGUAUAAAUACAUAUUUAAUAUUAAAAUAAAAAUAAACAUAGAAAUUUGAAAUAUAGUUAAUAAAUUCGGCAAAAAAUUUUUUUGACUGUUUAAUAAAAACAUUGUGUUUAGAAAUUAAAUAAACAUAAAUCCUGCUCAAUGAAAAUUUAAAUUGCUGUAGUAUUUUGACUAUACAAAGGUAUUGUAAUAAGACUUUAAUUGAGUGCUAAAAGAAUGGAAUUACAAAAAAAAACUUUAUUAAUUAUAAUAAUAAAAUUUAAUUUUAUUUGUGAAGAAGCAAUAAUAAAAAUUAAGGACAAGAAGACCCUAAGAAUUUUAUAAAUUUUAUUUAGAUUAAUACUAAAUUUUAAUUUUUUAAUUGGGGCGAUUAAAAAAUAUUAAGAACUUUUUUUUUAAAAAAAAGAACCAUUAUUAGUGGUAAAAUGGAAAAAUACUCUAGGGAUAACAGCGUAAUAAUUUUUGAUAGUCCAUAUAGACAAAAUAGUUUGCGACCUCGAUGUUGGAUUAGGAUUCUUUUAUAAUGAAGAAGUUAUGAUAAGAAGUUUGUUCAACUUUUAAAUUCCUACAUGAUCUGAGUUUAGACCGAUGAGAAUCAGGUUGGUUUCUAUCUUAAUUAACAAUUUAAUAUAUGUUAGUACGAAAGGAAUUCAUAUUUAAAAUAAUUUUAAUUAUUUUACUUUUUUUGCAUCAAUUUUUGGAAUUU